UACGUAGGGUCCGAGCGUUUGUCCGGAAUUACUGGGCGUAAAGAGCUCGUAGGUGGUUUGUCGCGUUGUUCGUGAAAACUCACAGCUUAACUGUGGGCGUGCGGGCGAUACGGGCAGACUUGAGUUCGGUAGGGGAGAACUGGAAUUCCGUGGUGUAGCGGUGGAAUGCGCAGAUAUCAGGAGGAACACCGGUGGCGAAGGCGGGUCUCUGGGCAGUAACUGACGCUGAGGAGCGAAAGCGUGGGGAGCGAACAGG
rnacentral:rRNA from 1 species